UACGUAGGGUGCAAGCGUUAAUCGGAAUUACUGGGCGUAAAGCGUGCGCAGGCGGUUAUGUAAGACAGAUGUGAAAUGCCCGGGCUUAACCUGGGAACUGCAUUUGUGACUGCAUGGCUAGAGUUGGCAGAGGGGGGUAGAAUUCCACGUGUAGCAGUGAAAUGCGUAGAUAUGUGGAGGAACACCGAUGGCGAAGGCAGCCCCCUGGGUCAAGACUGACGCUCAUGCACGAAAGGCGUGGGGAGCAAACAGG
rnacentral:rRNA from 1 species